rnacentral:lncRNA from 1 species
CACGUCGCUCGCUCCUUGACGGCUGACCGACACUGGGUCUGAGGUGUAAGCGCUUUCCAGGCCCUUCCCUGGGGCUUGGAGGGGAAUGGCGCAAAGGACUUUUCUUACAAGCAGAGAGGUUGGACUCCUGAAAGCCUGGACAGUGUCAUCAUCUUCACCUGAAGAGUGGAAAAAUUCAAGCAAAGAGUUUCUCAGGAAAUGACCAAGUAAAACAUCUGGAGUAAGUCAGCAGGAUUCACAGUGACUCCCCCCAACCAGCUGGUGGUGUUUCUCUCUGAAAGCAGCGCUUGGUACCAGUGUGAACUCUCUUCCUUCAGAAGUCUCAUCAGGUGUUUCAGAUGAGUUCUCCGGAAUUUGGACCUCCUACUCUUGGGUUGAAGGUGGACGUAAUACGAGGGUCUGGUCCCCCAUACCUUGAGGACUCCGCUGCCAUCUGACAAUUACAGACAAUCCAAUUGUCCUCAUCCUUGAGGACUCUGCUGCCAUCUGACAAUUAGAGACAGUCCAAAACAUGCCACACUUUGAUCCUAAACACAUUCCUGGCUUUGGUCACUUUUGAAAAGUUCCUGAGUUAUGAGAAAUCAAUAAUAAGAGUGUUCAAAACCUGAACACUCUUUUUAGAAAUACCUGCUGGAACUACAUAUAUGAUUUAUGG